GCGUUAUCCGGGAUUAUUGGGCGUAAAGCGCGCGCAGGUGGUUUCUUAAGUCUGAUGUGAAAGCCCACGGCUCAACCGUGGAGGGUCAUUGGAAACUGGGAGACUUGAGUGCAGAAGAGGAAAGUGGAAUUCCAUGUGUAGCGGUGAAAUGCGUAGAGAUAUGGAGGAACACCAGUGGCGAAGGCGACUUUCUGGUCUGUAACUGACACUGAGGCGCGAAAGCGUGGGGAGCAAACAGGAUUAGAUACCCUGGUAGUCCACGCCGUAAACGAUGAGUGCUAAGUGUUAGAGGGUUUCCGCCCUUUAGUGCUGAAGUUAACGCAUUAAGCACUCCGCCUGGGGAGUACGGCCGCAAGGCUGAAACUCAAAGGAAUUGACGG
rnacentral:rRNA from 1 species